GGCUUAGAGUUUGAUCAUGGCUCAGGAUGAACGCUGGCGGCGUGCCUAACACAUGCAAGUCGAACGAAGCGGUUUUGGUGAAGUUUUCGGAUGGAACCGGAACUGACUGAGUGGCGGACGGGUGAGUAACGCGUGGGUAACCUGCCUCAUACAGGGGGAUAACAGUUAGAAAUGACUGCUAAUACCGCAUAAGCGCACGGGACCGCAUGGUUUUGUGUGAAAAGCCGAGACGGUAUGAGAUGGACCCGCGUCUGAUUAGCUGGUUGGUGGGGUAACGGCCCACCAAGGCGACGAUCAGUAGCCGACCUGAGAGGGUGACCGGCCACAUUGGGACUGAGACACGGCCCAAACUCCUACGGGAGGCAGCAGUGGGGGAUAUUGCACAAUGGGGGAAACCCUGAUGCAGCGACGCCGCGUGAGUGAAGAAGUAUUUCGGUAUGUAAAGCUCUAUCAGCAGGGAAGAGAAUGACGGUACAUGAGUAAGAAGCCCCGGCUAACUACGUGCCAGCAGCCGCGGUAAUACGUAGGGGGCAAGCGUUAUCCGGAUUUACUGGGUGUAAAGGGAGCGUAGACGGCAAAGCAAGUCUGAAGUGAAAGCCCGGGGCUCAACCCCGGGACUGCUUUGGAAACUGCUCUGCUAGAGUGCUGGAGAGGUAAGCGGAAUUCCUAGUGUAGCGGUGAAAUGCGUAGAUAUUAGGAGGAACACCAGUGGCGAAGGCGGCUUACUGGACAGUAACUGACGUUGAGGCUCGAAAGCGUGGGGAGCAAACAGGAUUAGAUACCCCUGGUAGUCCACGCGGUAAACGAUGAAUACUAGGUGUUGGUGGGGCACGCCCAUCCGGUGCCCGCGCAACGUCAGUAAGUAUU
rnacentral:rRNA from 1 species